AUAAUUGCAGAUGUGGCACUUUCAUGGUAUAAAAGCCAUCUUCUUCUUCGAUUAAAUCGAAGAAGAAGAUGGCUUUUAUACCAUGAAUGUGCCACAUCUGCAAUUAU
rnacentral:pre_miRNA from 11 species